CGCACAAAGGUUGAACACUGCACGCGCACGCGAGUCGACGUUAGGAAAAGUGACUGUACCAGGGUCACAAGGCCGAGGCUUCCACGGAAAACUGAGUUACAGCAGGCUUACACACUGGAGCGUCGAAGGGGUCCCAGCAUGUGCCACCGAGUUUGCAACCUCACACGACGACGACGAGGGUGUGCAAAAUGAGACACACCCUGAAAGCCAGCCAGCCUUGGGGCACCUGGGCUGCUGGGCCCCCAAGGCGGUAGGGGCGCGUGGGGUGGGGGGAAGGGGGCCUCGAGGAGGAGGAGGAGGAGGAGGAGGAGGAGGAAGGCGGGGACCCCUCACCUUCAGCACCAGGACCUCCAGCAUCCCGUCGAAGCCUCGCGCCCCACCUCGCCCUUCUCCUGCAGAGCCGCUCGACGCCACCCCACGCCACGCCGCCCCACGCACGCAGGCUGGGAGGCAGCUCUCGGAGCAGGGCCUGGGGGGUGGGGGAGCUGCUGCUGCUGCACCGGGGGACCUCGCCGAACCCGCACGCGCGCUCGCGCACACCCUUUUAACGGCCCGCACACGCUCACCCGCCCCCAUCCCCGCCCCCAUCCCCACCCCCGCGCCUGCGCACAGGCCUCAGGAGGGCUAGACCGCUCCCCACUCCCCACCCCCACUCCCUGCGCGCAAACCGCCUGGAUAACGGCCUGGCCGCGCACAGCGCCGCCCUGAGGCGGGUCGGUGCAUUACAAGGUUAGGGAGGACGCACCGGUCCCUCUCCUCCGGGGACAGCCUCACACAGCAGGCUCUUUUAUCUUGUCCCCAUGUCCCCGAGGACCUACCUCCGUCCCCACCGAGGAUGGAGAGGUUGUUGCAUGCAAUGCAAGCCGAGUCUCCUUCUGCAACCUUGCCUGCCAGGAAGCCCUGCUCUCCACUCCCCCCUAGGGCCAAACUUCCACGCCCCAUCCAUCACCAAGCUCCGGUUGGAUCUCUCCUGUAUCAAUACCUGACUUUUGGCACGGAGCCAGGGUAGACUUUUCUAAUGAGCCACACCCAAGGCCUUGUGGCUUCCUGGCAUUGUUUCCACCUGAGCGCAUUCGGAGGGGGAAAAAAGGGCCCCACCUUCUUCGGGGGGGGCAGGUUCUGGCCACACGUGUGUUUCAUUGCACGGGGCUUCCUUCGACUCCCGGCUCUCUCGUCCUCGUGUUGUUAUGGGCAGAUAACAGCGUUUUCUGAAGGUAGACGUGGUGGAUCGCACCGUGAAACAGGACAGCCAGAAGCACGGGGAGGGUUAGCUAUCCGUGCUUCUCUCUCUCUCUCUCUCUGGCAUCUCCAGCAAACAAGAGGAAGAAUAGUCCAUUAAAAUUAAAGGAACCACGGGACUAUGAA